ACGCCUUAUACAUGCAAGUCGAACGAAGUAGCAAUACUUAGUGGCAGACGGGUGAGUAACAUGUGGGUAUCUUCCCUUUGGUGAGGAAUAACACGAGGAAACUUGUGCUAAUACCUCAUAAGUCUUUACGGAGAAAGCUUUAUGCGCCAAUGGAUGAGCCCGCACUUGAUUAGUUUGUUGGUGGGGUAACGGCCUACCAAGACUUUGAUCAAUAGCUGAUCUGAGAGGAUGAUCAGCCACAUUGGGACUGAGACACGGCCCAAACUCCUACGGGAGGCAGCAGUAGGGAAUAUUGCACAAUGGAGGAAACUCUGAUGCAGCGAUGCCGCGUGAGUGAAGAAGGCCUUUGGGUUGUAAAGCUCUUUCGUCGGGGAAGAAAAUGACGGUACCCGAAUAAGAAGGUCCGGCUAACUUCGUGCCAGCAGCCGCGGUAAUACGAAGGGACCUAGCGUAGUUCGGAAUUACUGGGCUUAAAGAGUUCGUAGGUGGUUAAAAAAGUUGGUUGUGAAAUCCCGAAGCUUAACUUCGGAACUGCAAUCAAAACUUUUUAGCUAGAGUAUGAUAGAGGAAAGCAGAAUUUCUAGUGUAGAGGUGAAAUUCGUAGAUAUUAGAAAGAAUACCAAUUGCGAAGGCAGCUUUCUGGAUCAUUACUGACGCUGAGGAACGAAAGCAUGGGUAGCGAAGAGGAUUAGAUACCCUCGUAGUCCAUGCCGUAAACGAUGUGUGUUAGACGUUGGAAAUUUAUUUUCAGUGUCGCAGCGAAAGCAGUAAACACACCGCCUGGGG
rnacentral:rRNA from 1 species